rnacentral:rRNA from 1 species
UGGGGAAUAUUGCGCAAUGGUCGCAAGACUGACGCAGCGACGCCGCGUGUGGGAUGAAGGCCUUCGGGUUGUAAACCACUGUCGGGAGGGGCGAAUACCUGGCUUCGAAUAGGAGACCAGGGGUGACGGUACCUCCAAAGGAAGCACCGGCUAACUCCGUGCCAGCAGCCGCGGUAAUACGGAGGGUGCAAGCGUUGUCCGGAAUCACUGGGCGUAAAGGGCGCGUAGGCGGCUUGAUAAGUCACUUGUGAAAUCCCGUUGCUCAACGACGGGGCCGCAGGUGAGACUGUCUGGCUGGAGCUUGGUAGGGGCGAGUGGAAUUCCCGGUGUAGCGGUGGAAUGCGUAGAGAUCGGGAAGAACACCGGUGGCGAAGGCGGCUCGCUGGGCCAAUGCUGACGCUGAUGCGCGAAAGCGUGGGGAGCAAACAGGAUUAGAUACCCCCGUAGUCC